UACAGAGGGUGCAAACGUUGCUCGGAAUGUCUGGGCGUAAAGCGCGUGUAGGCGGUCACGCAAGUCAGGUGUGAAAGCCCAGGGCUCAACCCCUGGAAGUGCACAUGAUACUACGUGGCUGGAGUACUGAAGAGGAGAGCGGAAUUCCCGGUGUAGAGGUGAAAUUCGUAGAUAUCGGGAGGAACACCAGUGGCGAAGGCGGCUCUCUGGGCAGAUACUGACGCUGAGACGCGAAAGCGUGGGUAGCAAACAGG
rnacentral:rRNA from 1 species